rnacentral:rRNA from 1 species
UAUGAGAGUUUGAUCCUGGCUCAGGACGAACGCUGGCGGCGUGCCUAAUACAUGCAAGUCGAACGCUUUUUCUUUCACCGGAGCUUGCUCCACCGAAAGAAAAAGAGUGGCGAACGGGUGAGUAACACGUGGGUAACCUGCCCAUCAGAAGGGGAUAACACUUGGAAACAGGUGCUAAUACCGUAUAACACUAUUUUCCGCAUGGAAGAAAGUUGAAAGGCGCUUUUGCGUCACUGAUGGAUGGACCCGCGGUGCAUUAGCUAGUUGGUGAGGUAACGGCUCACCAAGGCCACGAUGCAUAGCCGACCUGAGAGGGUGAUCGGCCACACUGGGACUGAGACACGGCCCAGACUCCUACGGGAGGCAGCAGUAGGGAAUCUUCGGCAAUGGACGAAAGUCUGACCGAGCAACGCCGCGUGAGUGAAGAAGGUUUUCGGAUCGUAAAACUCUGUUGUUAGAGAAGAACAAGGAUGAGAGUAGAACGUUCAUCCCUUGACGGUAUCUAACCAGAAAGCCACGGCUAACUACGUGCCAGCAGCCACGGUAAUACGUAGGUGGCAAGCGUUGUCCGGAUUUAUUGGGCGUAAAGCGAGCGCAGGCGGUUUCUUAAGUCUGAUGUGAAAGCCCCCGGCUCAACCGGGGAGGGUCAUUGGAAACUGGGAGACUUGAGUGCAGAAGAGGAGAGUGGAAUUCCAUGUGUAGCGGUGAAAUGCGUAGAUAUAUGGAGGAACACCAGUGGCGAAGGCGGCUCUCUGGUCUGUAACUGACGCUGAGGCUCGAAAGCGUGGGGAGCGAACAGGAUUAGAUACCCUGGUAGUCCACGCCGUAAACGAUGAGUGCUAAGUGUUGGAGGGUUUCCGCCCUUCAGUGCUGCAGCAAACGCAUUAAGCACUCCGCCUGGGGAGUACGACCGCAAGGUUGAAACUCAAAGGAAUUGACGGGGGCCCGCACAAGCGGUGGAGCAUGUGGUUUAAUUCGAAGCAACGCGAAGAACCUUACCAGGUCUUGACAUCCUUUGACC